UGAGACCCUGACCAGGAUGGAAGUCCAGAGGAGUGAGCCUGGUCAUUUUUGGACGUGUUCACCUUAUGGACAUUAGCCGAUCCUGAAGAGACAAUUGAAAGGUAUCAGGGCCUCUCUGAGUGUGAGCUUACCAUCUGGCUACCCGGCAAGAUACUACAUUUCCCAGUCUCCCAUGAAGGUAGGUGUGGUCACAUGACUGAGUUUGGACCAAUGGGAUGUGAGCAGAAGUCAUGUGUAUUUAUCUUUAAUAAAGAUGAAGUUUUCCUGGAGUACC
rnacentral:lncRNA from 1 species